rnacentral:rRNA from 1 species
CCUACGGGUGGCAGCAGUGAGGAAUAUUGGUCAAUGGGCGAGAGCCUGAACCAGCCAAGUCGCGUGAAGGAUGACGGCCCUACGGGUUGUAAACUUCUUUUGUCAGGGAGCAAUUGGGUCCACGCGUGGGCUUAGCGAGAGUACCAGAAGAAAAAGCAUCGGCUAACUCCGGGCCAGCAGCCGCGGUAAUACGGUGGUUGCGAGCGUUAUCCGGAUUGAUUGGGUUUAAGGGGUGCGUAGGCGGACUAUCACGUCAGCGGGAAAGAUUCGGGGCUCAACCCCGUGGUGCAGUUGAAACUGAUGUUCUUGAGUGGGCGAGAAGUAUGCGGAAUGCGUGGUGUAGCGGUGAAAUGCAUAGAUAUCACGCAGAACUCCGAUUGCGAAGGCAGCAUACCGGCGCCCAACUGACGCUGAAGCACGAAAGCGUGGGUAUCGAACAGGAUUAGAUACCCUAGUAGUC